CUGGGAAAGCUCUGCGUUCUGGGAGUUGUAGUCCUCUCCUUUUUCCGGCUCUUAGUACAGAGGUUUUCUCUUUUUUUCAAGCUGCAAUUUGGCUUGCAGCAGUGUCCAACUUAAUCCGGCAGUGGGACUUUUCUUAAAAGCAAACUAAACAAAAGAGAAUGGAGGUUUAUAACGCAGGGAGAUGAAAACAUAAAAGUAAAUGGUUUUUAGAAUGUAUCCAAAUCAUAACUGCCCUCAAGGGCAUGGCGGGGGGAGUUGAUUUUGAGAAUCUUUGGGAUGGAAACUAGAAUCAGCAUCUUAAGGAAAAGUUUAUUUAAUGCAGGACCCAUUUGCUAUCUGAAUAGCGUUGCUUGAAGUAUCUUAUAAAAAUAGCAGGGCACGAAGAUUGUGAAGAUACACCUGCAAAAAAUAGAGACCUCUUUGUGUAUUCUUAUACAGAAUUCUGAACAGGAUUACCACGCUAUCUUACUUGCAAACCGAGCUUGAUGGACUUAUCUUAAUUACCAAGGCUGAAUAAACACUAGGGGGCUCCCUGGAGUGCAGAAUGUGCAAGAAAACUGCGGAAUACAGAUUACAAAUUAUGUAUAAUACUUCCAUUUUUCCUUGUCCUCAGGGACCAAAAAGUACUCAAUGUCACAAUAAAAAAACAUAAUAAACAUUACUGAUAUUUCCUAAAUGA